rnacentral:rRNA from 1 species
UUUAAGGUCUAACCUGCCCAAUGAGGAUUUAAAUGGCCGCAGUAUUUUGACUGUGCAAAGGUAGCAUAAUUAUUAGUUUUUUAAUUGAAAGCUUGUAUGAAGGGUUGGACGAGAUAAAAUCUGUCUUUAUUUAAAUUAAAAUAUAAUUUAACUUUUAAGUCAAAAGGCUUAAAUGUUUAUAAAAGACGAGAAGACCCUAUAGAUCUUUAUUUAAUUAAGAUUUUAAUAAUUUAGGAUUAUUUUAAUUUGGAGUUUUAAUUAAAUUUUAUUGGGGUAAUAUAAAGAUUAAAUAAAUUCUUUUUAUUUAUAACAUUAAUUUAUGAAUAUAUGAUCCAUUAAUAUUGAUUAUAAGAUUAAGUUACCUUAGGGAUAACAGCGUAAUUUUUUUGGAGAGCUCAUAUCGAUAAGAAAGUUUGCGACCUCGAUGUUGGAUUAAAAAUUAGCUUGGGUGCAGAAGCUCAAGAUUUUGGUCUGUUCGACCAUUAAAUUUUUACAUGAUCUGAGUUCAGACCGGCGUAAGCCAGGUCGGUUUCUAUCUUUAUUUAGAUAAAAUAUUUUAGUACGAAAGGACCAAGUAUUUAAUAUAAUUAUAUUUAUUUUUUGAAUAAUAUU